UACGUAGGGGGCUAGCGUUGUCCGGAAUCAUUGGGCGUAAAGCGCGUGUAGGCGGUCCGUUAAGUCCGCUGUGAAAGGCGGGGGCUCAACCCUCGGAUGCCGGUGGAUACUGUCGGGCUUGAGUACGGAAGAGGCGAGUGGAAUUCCUGGUGUAGCGGUGAAAUGCGCAGAUAUCAGGAGGAACACCAAUUGCGAAGGCAGCUCGCUGGGACGUUACUGACGCUGAGACGCGAAAGCGUGGGGAGCAAACAGG
rnacentral:rRNA from 1 species